rnacentral:rRNA from 1 species
AUGUCGAGGCCUCUGCUUGCAAUGGCCGCGGCGGCGAUCGUCGUCGCCUGCUGUUUCGCGGCGUGUCCGGUGGGCGCGGGCGCGAGCGCUGGUGGCUUCUACGACAACUUCGUGGUGAAGUGGGGCACGGACCCAGACCCUGACCGGCGGGUCGAGAUCGUCGACGGCGGCCGGCUCGUGACGAUCACCCUCAACAACGUCUCCGGCGCCGGGUUCCAGUCCCGGGACGCCUUCCUCUUCGGCGAGUUCACCAUGGAGAUGAAGCUCGUGCCCGGCGACUCCGCCGGCACGGUCACCACCUUCUACCUGACAUCGAAGGACCCGACGGCGGUGGGGGACGGGCACGACGAGAUCGACUUCGAGUUCCUGGGCAACGUCAGCGGGGAGCCGUACCUGAUGCAGACCAACGUGUUCGCGCAGGGCGUCGGGGGCAGGGAGCAGCGGUCCUACCUCUGGUUCGACCCGACAGAGGACUUCCACAACUACACAAUCCUGUGGAACCCUCUGAACAUCAUCUUCUCUGUGGACGGUGUGCCAGUGCGCGUGUUCCGGAACCACGACGCGAAUGGCGUGCCGUACCUGACCAGGCAGGCGAUGAAGGUGCACGCGACCAUCUGGGACGGCGAUACCUGGGCCACGCGCGGCGGCCGGGUCAAGAUCGACUGGGCGCACGCGCCCUUCGUCGCCUCCUACGGGACCUACGCCGCCAGCGCCUGCGUCUCCGCGGCCGGCAACGGCGAUCAGGACGGAGCGCCGUCGGCCUUCUGCUGCCCGGGCGACGCCCCGUCGUGGAUGGCCCGGCGGCUGGGGCCGGACGGCGAGCGCGCGGUGGCGUGGGCGCGCGACAAGUACAUGGUGAUGGACUACUGCGACGACCCCUGGAACCUCGGCCGCCCCGCCGAGUGCGACAUGGACAGCCUCGCCUCAGCCGUGUGA